GACGACCUCGUAUGAACUGACAUCACACAAAUUUCACGGAGAACGAUCUUAAACAUCUCCAAAUCUUUCCGCAGCACGCGACAGCAAAACUUUCAAGCAGCGC
rnacentral:lncRNA from 1 species